rnacentral:rRNA from 1 species
GACGUAGGGCGCAAGCGUUGUCCGGAUUUAUUGGGCGUAAAGAGCUCGUAGGCGGCUCGUUGCGUCGGCUGUGAAAACCCGCAGCUCAACUGUGGGCUUGCAGCCGAUACGGGCGGGCUGGAGUUCGGUAGGGGAGACUGGAAUUCCUGGUGUAGCGGUGAAAUGCGUAGAUAUCCGGAGGAACACCGGUGGCGAAGGCGGCUUCCUGGACCGACACUGACGCUGAGGCGCGAAAGCUAGGGGAGCAAACGGG